rnacentral:lncRNA from 1 species
GGUGAGGAGGAGAUGGCGAGGAUGGUGGGGACAAGGCGUGGAUGCUCUUUUCCUGAGUCUUCGAAGCACUCCAGCCAUCCCCUCGGAGAAUCGGAGGCUGUCUGUGACCGUGUGAAGAAGAUGUUGAUGUACUAUUUCUGAAUGUCCAUGGAUAUUGGAAGUUAGCUUGGGCCCUCCUGAGGGUGGAAAUUCUGAAGAGGAGACAGACCAUCACGAUCUGGCUGUGAAGUAAAGAAGAAUUUCAAGAGGCUCUCUGUCUUCAUGAUACCUGUGCCAUUGAAGUCCUGCAGUAACUCACAAGGCUAUUGAUCGCUCUCCACAACCUGAUGGUAACGCCUUGUCGCUGAAGACAACACUUACUCCUAAAGAAGAUAAGCUUGUGCC